GGGUGAUUUAGAGGAGGGACCCGGCCUAGCCGGUGGUUCAGGUGGCCGGUCGGGCUGGAAGGGCGGGGAUGAGGGAUGGGACGCAUCCCCGGGGGAUGCUCCUCCAAAGCUUUUAUCGGGCGAGCGCAGUGGCUCACGCCUGUAAUUCCUGCACUUUGGGAGGCUAAGGGUCUCACUCUAUUGUCUAGGCUCGAAUGCAGUGACGUGAUCAUGGAUCACUGCAGUCCUCAACUUACUGGGCUCAGGUAAUCCUCCCACCUCAACCUCCCAGGUAGCAGAGAUUACAGAGAUGGGGUUUCACCAUAUUGGCUAUGCUGGUCUCGAACUCCUGACCUUGUGAUCCACCUGCCUUGGCCUCCCAAAGUGCUGGGAUUACAGGAUGAAAGGCUUCCUAGCACAAACACCACCCCUGGAGUUCCCGGUACAUCAAUACCAGCCUGGGGAUCACGUUCUCAUCAAGAGUUGGAAGAGGGAAAGCUUGAACCAGCUUAGGAGGACCUCAUCUGGUACUCUUGAUGAAUGAAACAGCAAUCUGAAUGGCUGAAAAAGGAUGGACCCAGCACUCCAGGGAGAAAACUUGGCAUUCUUUGGGAAUCUAACAGGAUGCAGUGAACCCAAGCCUUUUGAAGAGCUCACCAAUCAGACUGCCCUUGUCUAUCCAUGAGCAGAUGUUUGAUAGUAUUGCGGAGGCCCUCUAGUGGGUAUGCUGCCAAGCAACUGGAGUGGCACUUGGGCUCUAAUCCAGUUGUCUAUCCCUUUCACCCUGGCAUUUCAUCAGCCAAACAAAAACCAACUAACUCAGAAAAAAAGGAAAGCCCCUCAAGGGUCCUUUGACCCCGAUAUCUACAUAGAUGCUAUCGGGGUCCCCUGAGGGGUACCAAACGAAUUCAAAGCUCGAAAUCAAAUAGCUGCUGGAUUCAAGUCUGUCCUUUUCUUGUGGUCUACUAUAAAUAAAAAUGUAGACUGGAUAAAUUACAUAUACUAUAACCAACAACGAUUUGUCAGUUACACCAGGGAUGCCAUUAAAGGAAUAGCUGAACAAUUGGGUUUCACCAGCCAAAUGGCCUGGGAAAAUAGAAUAGCUCUUGACAUGAUAUUAGUGGAAGUCCAAUGUUGUACCUGUAUCCCCAAUAAUACAGCCCCUGAUGUAACUAUCACUAAGGGUCUAUAAGGCCUCACCACUCUAGGAAAUGAACUAGCUGAAAAUUCGGGAAUGAAUGAUCCCUUUACAGGUGUAAUGGAAAAAAUGGUUUGGUAGAUGGAAAGGACUAAUGGCCUCUAUUCUCACCUCCCUUGUGAUCAUAAUAGGGGUGCUCAUUCUCUUAGGGUGCUGUAUUAUACCCUGUGUCUGCGGACUAGUUCAAAAGCUCAUAGAAACAGCCCUUACCAAGACCUCCCACAACUCUCCCCCACCCUAUUCAGAUAAACGUUUAUUUCUAAGCAACCAAGAAGAGCAGUGAAGCCAGAUCCUGUUAGAAAUAUAUGAAGAGGAAGGACUACAAAAUCAAAAGGGGAAAAUUAUUAGACAAAAUGAGUUGCUCUACAAAGGUCCAACUUCGUUGUCCUUUGUUCUGUAACCUUUGUUCUGUAAACUGCCCUUCCCGCAGAAACUGUCUUUCCCGCCGACCAAAACUGCCCUUCACUAUCACUGUAAUCCAUACCCCUACUCUAUUUGAAACUGCCAAUCGGGAUCAGCUUACAUUGUGUGGUUCAACCACCAGCCAAUGAGGAAAAAACACAGAAGCAAAAGCUAUGAUGCAUUAGGGUUAAAAACCCCUUCCUUUCCCUGUCCAAUGUGCUCUUGAGACUGCUAC
ensembl:lncRNA ZNF561-AS1 ZNF561 antisense RNA 1 (head to head)